rnacentral:tRNA from 1 species
GGGGUUGUAGCUCAGCGGUAGAGCAUAGGCUUUGCAAGCCUGGGGUCAUCGGUUCAAAUCCGUUCAACUCCA